UACGUAGGGGGCUAGCGUUGUCCGGAAUCAUUGGGCGUAAAGAGCGCGUAGGCGGCCAGAUAAGUCCGGUGUGAAAGUCACAGGCUCGAACCUGUGAUGCCGCUGGAAACUGUCUGGCUAGAGUCCGGGAGGGGCGAGUGGAAUUCCUGGUGUAGCGGUGAAAUGCGCAGAUAUCAGGAAGAACACCCGUGGCGAAGGCGGUUCUCUGGGACGGUACUGACGCUGAGACGCGAAAGCGUGGGGAGCGAACAGG
rnacentral:rRNA from 1 species